CGAGGUGCGAGCGCUCCUGCCUCCGCAGCCUUCAGUGCCCCACCGGCUUACAGACGGGCUCACAGCCCCAGGAAGGGAGAGAUCAGGGGCGCAGGUGGUGUGCUGCGUGCUUGGGACUCACAGAUGAGAACCUCAAGAAUGAAAUCACACCAGUGGUGAACUACCCUGAGGAAAAACACCUUCCAGCAACUUUGCACAUGACAUUUGUCACGUGCACAGGCUUGUCAUGCACAAAUCACCUACAACAACAAAGAGGAUUAUGGAGAGUUGGUGGCCAUCGCACGGGACCUUUUUGUGCUUCGGAUUUUCAGUCAGGUACCAUUACAAUGAUCAUCGUCACAGGAGAGGAAGCCAAACAGCAAAGGAGCCUACGGGAUACCAUCGGCAGGGGCAGCCUGGCAGAGCUGAGAAGCAGGGAUGAUGGGCCAGAGGCACACGGAGAGCCCCUGCACACAUCCAUUCCAAAUGGGCAGUGUCCUCUGAGCUCUGCAGUGACCACAGCCUGUGCCACACUGGUUGGAGACGCCUUCCACUGCACAUAGCCUGAUCUCAAGAUAGGUUGCCUCCUGACCCCGCCCCACCUACAGGCCACCAUCCUCAAGCCAAAGAAAGGACGGAUGUCAACACAGCUGCGGGAGACCUGGGGUCAGAGAAGAGAGCAGAGGAAGAAACAGAAUCCAAGUACAGAAGAAGAGGAUAAAGGGGAUUUUGAAAAGGCCCACAGAUCUCUUCUUCGUGUAGGGACCCUGCCUCCGCUGCUUCCCGCGCCGGCUGGGGCCAAGAGGAACUUUCCGUCGCGUUCCGAGACACUGCUCAUUUUCUCUUCAGCUGAAAAAUAGAUAUUUAUUUUGCCGUUUCGCUCCACGAUUCUGGAGGCUGGCAUUUUCCAUUUUAGUGCUCUCCGUUUUGAACCACGCUUGUAAUUACUGCUGUCUCUUAAGCCGUGUUUCCGGAGGGCUCUCCCAUGCGAAGUGCGAGGGCACGGGAGCAGCUGCCUUUCCAGGGGGCGAAAGCGAAGCGCCUUGUCUCGGCGUCCACCUCUGCAAACCCGCAGACGCACACGUGGAAACAGACAUUACGGUCCCAACGAGGGGAGAGACGGGCUCCGAACUGCAGGUUUCCGCUCGUCUCUUUCAGCAUUUGGAGGAAGAGUAAGCGCCACACAUCCGGGGCAUUUCGGGCACGUCUCAUUUCUAAGGUGCUCUUCUUAAAAAAGCCAAAGUCCUCAAGAGGCUUUUUAGGCUAUUGCUGCCUAUUCCGUGGAUCUCUGCCUCCUGGAGACGUUGGCUGUCCGGUCAAGGUCAUGGAGGGCAGGUGCCUGUGCGCCGCUCUGGACUGCCCGGACGCCCCGAGUGGUCUGCCUCUGCCUCUGCUCCAACCGGUGUUGUCCCACGGCAUCGAGGCCACACUGGCUUCCCUUCCUUUUCCAGAGCAAGCCAAGCUGCACCCACCACCAGGGCACCAGGAUGUCUGUCUGCCUGUCCCUCACGCCCUCUUCCCUGGCCCGUUGCCCUUGUUUCUCUCUCCACGUCUUCCUCACAGCCCCAGGAGCCUUUCACAUUCAUUCAGGUCUCUCUGUUACACAGUUCAGGGGCCCCCCGUGCCUCUCUAAGUCACAACCGAUUGUUUGUGUGGCAAUGUCUCUGUCGAGAGGAGGGUCGGCUGCAUGAGGACAGAGGCGGACUUUACUGCGUCCGUCACCGUCUCCAGCACAAUUGCCAGAUGGUGGCCCUUCUCUGAGUGACCAAGUCUCCAAAGUAUCCAUUACCCAAAAGCUUCUCUGGAAACCAUUUGAAAGGUUUAUGGCAAUUCAUGUCUCGGCAAGAUAAUAAAAUGGUUCGGUCUUUACAAUGACAAUGUCCCCUGUAACUUGAAUUUGGGGUAUCAGGCCCGCUGGCAGAGUCAAGGGUUUUUGUAAACGUUACAGUGAGUUCGCAUCUGCCUUUCAAUUCCAUAAACUUCCCAGUUGGUGAAGUUCUCCUUUUUGUCUUUCAGAGAGUCUUAGCCGUCUGGAUCCACUGAAUUGUUUUCUUGAGCAGAAGGGAGAGAGAAGCAGUUAAUUUUCCAGAGAGACUGCAGCAUAGGGUUGCAACCCAAAAUGUGCUUCCAUUACAGAUGCAAGAGUGCUUUUCCAGACGGUGUGCAAACGUGUUGUGCGUCCAUUAAAAUUUCCAUCAGUACCAUACAAAUCAUGAAUCGUAAUAAAAAGUGUAGUCAAGUCACCUUGAUCUGGUUGCUAUCUGCAGAAAGAACCCAGAUAGUUUACCUUCAUGGGAUGAAAUGAAAAUAUGUUUUGUAAUGUCUGGCAGAUGCCUGAGAAUUUCUCAGUGUGCAACAUUUUACACGCAGACGGAAGUGAAGUUGCGCAGGGUUUGUGGAUGUCGACGCGAAGAAUAAACAUUCAUCUAGCAGAGUGACACCGGAAGGAUGCCCCUAUGGGCAGGUCUGAGCGUUUGUGGGGGCGUCCCAGGUGGACGUGAAUGCACACACGCGUGAGAGCAUGUCUGCAGAGCGCCCCUAGUCCCACCCCUUUCUCUCCCUCAAAAGAUUUCUCUCCCGUCAUUAAUUUAACAAGGAAUGGCCUAUUGCACUGGAAAUGCACGCAAGAGAGACUCAUCUACCUUCCCCAAACUCCUUAACACUUCAGAUAUGCAAAAUCUAAAAGUCAAAGUACACAACAACAGUUAAGUCAA